GACGAACGCUGGCGGCGUGCCUAAUACAUGCAAGUCGAACGCUGAAGGAGGAGCUUGCUCUUCUGGAUGAGUUGCGAACGGGUGAGUAACGCGUAGGUAACCUGCCUGGUAGCGGGGGAUAACUAUUGGAAACGAUAGCUAAUACCGCAUAAGAGUAGAUGUUGCAUGACAUUUGCUUAAAAGGUGCAAUUGCAUCACUACCAGAUGGACCUGCGUUGUAUUAGCUAGUUGGUGGGGUAACGGCUCACCAAGGCGACGAUACAUAGCCGACCUGAGAGGGGGCUCGGCCACACUGGGACUGAGACACGGCCCAGACUCCUACGGGAGGCAGCAGUAGGGAAUCUUCGGCAAUGGACGGAAGUCUGACCGAGCAACGCCGCGUGAGUGAAGAAGGUUUUCGGAUCGUAAAGCUCUGUUGUAAGAGAAGAACGAGUGUGAGAGUGGAAAGUUCACACUGUGACGGUAUCUUACCAGAAAGGGACGGCUAACUACGUG
rnacentral:rRNA from 1 species